rnacentral:rRNA from 1 species
AUACGGAGGGUGCAAGCGUUAUUCGGAAUCACUGGGCGUAAAGGACGCGUAGGCGGGUUGGCAAGUCAGAUGUGAAAUCCUACAGCUUAACUGUAGAACUGCAUUUGAAACUGCUAACCUAGAGUAUGGGAGGGGGAGAUGGAAUUAGUGGUGUAGGGGUAAAAUCCGUAGAUAUCACUAGGAAUACCGAAAGCGAAGGCGAUCUCCUGGAACAUAACUGACGCUAAGGCGUGAAAGCGAGGGGAGCAAACAGGAUUAGAAACCCCAGUAGUCC